rnacentral:rRNA from 1 species
AACGAACGCUGGCGGCGCGCCUAAUACAUGCAAGUCGAGCGAGAAGACGUAGCAAUACGUUUGUAAAGCGGCGAACGGGUGAGGAAUACAUGGGUAACCUACCCUCGAGUGGGGAAUAACUAGCCGAAAGGUUAGCUAAUACCGCGUACGCUCCUUGGACUUCGGUUCAGGGAGGAAAGCGAUACCGUGGGUAUCGCGCUCUUGGAUGGGCUCAUGUCCUAUCAGCUUGUUGGUGAGGUAACGGCUCACCAAGGCUUCGACGGGUAGCUGGUCUGAGAGGACGAUCAGCCACACUGGCACUGCGACACGGGCCAGACUCCUACGGGAGGCAGCAGUAAGGAAUAUUGCGCAAUGGGCGAAAGCCUGACGCAGCGACGCCGCGUGGGGGAUGAAGGUCUUCGGAUU